rnacentral:misc_RNA from 1 species
GCCAAGUUAUCAUAUUUCACAAUCACAGCACAAGAAUUAAGUAAACAAUUGUAAAUUGUACUCUUGCCAAUACUUGUAAGCAGUAGCAUAAUAUUUCAAGCUUUGCACUUCUAUUACAUUCAAAUUCAUGGUCAAUCGAUCAUAUCCCUUGGGGAGUGAGGAUAACAAUACACAUUUGGAAAAGGAUGACAAUUCUUAGCCGUCAGAACCACAAGUUUGACGAUAACAAUACACAUGUGGAAAAGGAUGGCAAUCUUGGCAGUGAGAACCACAUGUUUGAGGCCACCAAAGGUAAUCCUUAUAUUUCUUUCCAAAAGCGUAAAUCAUUACGCCAGAGUGUAACAAAGUUGUGGGCCUGGAGGAGUGGAACAUAAAUUGGGCUGAACUAAUUGUGUCCCAGUCCAUUUGUAAUGUGAGGUUGUUUUUCCCACAUAGUUAGAUGUCAACCCACAAAUUUGGUCUCCCGGAGAAGUCCAAUUUUUUUCCGCGAGGUUGCCUACAGAGGGAGGUUCAGUAGGUGUAAUUCCUUGUGGGGUGAAGGGAAAGUGCAUUGCUGGGAGGCAAUGUUU